CCAAUAGCGUAUAUUAAUGUUGUUGCGGUUAAAAAGCUCGUAGUUGAACUUCGGGGUUUACCCAUUGGUCAGGCUUAAUUGUCUGUACUGGUGAGAUAAAUCUCUACCUUCUGAGGAACUUUCAUGUCAUUAAUUUGGUGUGAUGGGAAAUCAGGACUGUUACUUUGAAAAAAUUAGAGUGUUUAAAGCAGGCUAACGUCUGAAUACAUUAGCAUGGAAUAAUGAAAUAGGACGGACUGAUUCUAUUUCGUUGGUUUCUAGGAUCACCGUAAUGAUUAAUAGGGAUAGUUGGGGGCAUUAGUAUUCAAUUGUCAGAGGUGAAAUUCUUGGAUUUAUUGAAGACUAACUACUGCGAAAGCAUUUGCCAAGGAUGUUUUCAUUAAUCAAGAACGAAAGUUAGGGGAUCGAAGACGGUCAGAUACCGUCGUAGUCUUAACCAUAAACUAUGCCGACUAGGGAUCGGACGAAGUUAAUUUUAUAAUGACGCGUUCGGCACCUUACG
rnacentral:misc_RNA from 1 species